rnacentral:rRNA from 1 species
AUACGUAGGGAGCGAGCGUUGCCCGGAAUUACUGGGUGUAAAGGGAGCGUAGGCGGGACUGCAAGUCAGAUGUGAAAUACCGGGGCUUAACCCCGGAGCUGCAUUUGAAACUGUGGUUCUUGAGUGAAGUAGAGGCAAGCGGAAUUCCUGGUGUAGCGGUGAACUGCGUAGAUAUCAGGAGGAACACCGGUGGCGAAGGCGGCUUGCUGGGCUUUUACUGACGCUGAGGCUCGAAAGCGUGGGUAGCAAACAGGAUUAGAUACCCUGGUAGUCCACGCUGUAAACGAUGAUUACUAGGUGUGGGGGGACUGACCCCUUCCGUGCCGCAGUUAACACAAUAAGUAAUCCACCUGGGGAGUACGGCCGCAAGGUUGAAACUCAAAGGAAUUGACGGGG